ensembl:lncRNA
CAGUAAGUCAUAUAUAUAAUUGAUAUCAUACUGAUCAGGCAUGUGUUCAUUGUAGCACGGUGUGCUGUUAUGCUACGUGUGCUGUUAUGCUACGUGUGCUGUUAUGCCAGGUGUGCUGUUAUGCCAGGUGUGCUGUUAUGCCAGGUGUGCUGUUAUGCCAGGUGUGCUGUUAUGCCAGGUGCGCUGUUAUGCCAGGUGUGCUGUUAUGCUAUGUAUGGUGUGGUGCUCAUGUGAUUCCUAAUAACGAGUGGACCUGUCCGGGUGCUGGUUUGAACUCCUUGUGAACUGCCAGGGGUUCAAUCAGUCUCCCCGAUCCCACACAUGUCCUGCUGGACCACCACAAUCAGGAAGAGGCUAAUUGUGGCUCUAAUGUCAGCCACAUGCAUGCCCUUAGUAUAAUUUUCCCUUUCCUCCACGUCACACGAACGUGCUUUCAGUCCCCUCCCAUCUGUCCUCCCCA